GAUGAAAAACGAGUGGUUAGCUAUAGCCGAUCACGAUCUAACAACAAGUUUUGAUGAUUUAUGCCAACACGUCCGUCAAAAUGUCAAAUUCUUGGGCACACAUCAACAAUUCGACACAUUUCACACAUCGAUGCCAAAAACCAUAUCUCUUCGAGAUUGCCGCAAUGUUAAAGUCAACGUUAUUUGUAUGUUUCAGCCCCACCCCACCGCCAGUCCACCGAAAAUUGUGUUAAUUUAAAUCAAAUGACAAAAUAUAAUAAACGACCAUAAAAUUUAAUCCGAGUCUUCUCUAAAAAGGUACGAAGAAUGUGUCAAGUGAUUGAGCACACAAAAGUUGUCCCAAUGAUCAUAUAGUCGACUAAUGUAGUCACUUUUUGGAUAGAUAAAAAACCGAAAAUUUAAACCAUUACAAUCAUAUUGUAUGCGUACUUAUUCAGAGUAAGUAUUACUUUACGAGGCUCACUAGGCGUAUACGCAAUUAUAUUUGAAUUACGUUACUUUUGCUCAUCAGCUGCUAUUUUUAACAAAGUUAAAUUUCGAAUUGAACAUUUAUUUGAAAUCAGAACAAAUGCAACCGGAAAAGGUACAAAAUGUGGUGUGUAAUGUAGAGUGCUUGACAUAAAGCAUGUCUACGUAUGACACAAAAGCGAAAAAUGAAAACCAAUUAAACAAGCUAAUCAUUUUAUUGUCAUUAGCACCGGCAGCAACAACACUUACAAUGAAAAAAAAGAAGAAGUCAAAUUUAAACGGCUUAUUAGCAUUACCAUUUAGGUGUUAUCGUCAGUUAUGGCCAUUGUGUGUUUGUAAAGAGAAAACCAGUGCCCAUGAAUGUGCACACUUUGUAUAUAUACCCUCAAAGUACGUAAACAGCAUAGCAUCUGAUACAUGUAUGUUUCUUCGAAUGACUGGAACACGCAUUUUAUUUAUCUAAAAACCUAUUAUUUUUUUUCAAUUUGUUCUUUUUCUUUGUUGUAAAAGUAGGCAGGGUAUUCUGUACAUCGGCAUGCAUUCACUUGCUUAUCGUGUUUACUUUACUUAAGUCUUGGACAGUUAACAGCUUUAGCUGUGCAAACAUUGGGUCAACCUAUUAGCGGAAUUAUCAGCUUCGUACACGUAUUAUACUUGUGACAGCAGCGCAUGUCAACCAGGCAAAUCAACAUGCUUUAAAUAUAUAACGCAAUAGUCUGAUAACAGUGUAGCAUUGCAUCACCUCGCUUUUUGCAGGCCACAUUAUUUUGAAAAAUUCACUUGAGUUGCAGCAAAAAGUAAAACUUUAAAACCUCUUCACUUUCCAUUUCGCAAUAUAAAUGUUGCAUUUUUUCACAAGCAAACAGCAACCCCGAAUUAAAAUCACGCAAACAUAAAAGUCGCUUAUUUUAGGUUUGGAAAAAAAGGAAAAGAAAUAUAUGUAUAUAUAGGCGGAAUACCAUAUAGUUGGGUCGCUGAAGUAUUGAUUGAUUAAUGAACUGAAUAUUUCAUGUGUCCGGUGGUGCCUUUUAUUUUCCCUUACUGGUGGCAUUAUCCUUGGCCAGAGCGCAACGUCUGGGUCUUGAUCCUUCCGCCCAGCACGACUAUUGCUGCCCCGUUGACAUUGUAAUUGAAUCAAUAAUAAAAUCAAAAUGUACGACGAUGACAAUGACACUUGGAUUUCGAUUUCGAUUUCGACUUCAACUCCGACUUUCCGUCUCCGUCUGGACAGAAACCCUUGUUCUCCGUUCUCCGUCCCCCGUGCUCCGUCUUCCGCGUUCCCGUCUGUCUCUGAAUCCAUGUCCGUGUUCGUUUCGCUGUCCGUGUCAUCGUGUCAUCAUUUCAGCAUUUCAGCACAAGGAACGGGAACGGGAAUGGCAACGUCACCAUCGCCGGCUCUCGAGUGCCGGACCCCCCUUUUUGAAAUCCGCUGGGUAUAGGUGUAGGCAUCGAACUUGGUUUACGAUUCGGUCGGGUCAGAUCUACUCCAUAUACAUAUGUGGGUACACAGCUUAGACUUGUUUACUGAUCUGGUACUUGAUUGUAAUUUAUUCAAAAGAUUGUGAAAAUACUAGAAGACACCAAGAGUUCAGAUGGGAACUCAGACUAUCACUGGAACACUAAAAGGGUGUAUUACAUUGGAAUUGGAAAGUGCCCAGAGACAUUGUGACAUCAAGCGGUGAGUAGUGAGCUCUUCUGAUAUGGUUGUUGUUUGCAGCGCGAACGUCAAUGCUCAAUCAAUGACUUCGACUGGCUGACUGGCUGUCUGACUAGCAGACUUUCCUCGCCGAGUGCAUGUGCUUGUGCCUGUGUCUUUCGUUUUAGAAUUUGUUAUAAUGUGUUCGAGUAUAUACAUAUUUCAUUUCUGAACUGUCUCCCUGACAGCCCACGAACGUUUUGAGUGACGUACAAAACGAUGUCGUGUUGUCGUGCCACGGAUUCGACUUCGCGUCCGACCAGGUUGACUUUUUGUCGUUUCUCCUCCGCUUUUGGCGUUUAAAUAUAUAUGGCAUAUAGUAUAUAUAGUCUCAGUCGCAGUCGGAGUUGAAGUCGAAUCGACCGACGGACAUGGCAAUGGUGACUUUGACUUGAAUGCGCCAAGCGAACGAUUUCUCGAGUGGGACGUCAAAUCAGCUGAACUUUUCAUUAAGGCCUUUUGAAAUUUCGGCAUUAACCCUUUGGUGAACCGUCCCUGUCACCCUGUCGUUUUAUUAUUAUAUAGCCGGUGCUGUUGCAAAUGAUCAGGGAACCCAUUAGCAGUUGAUCCGUGCCGUGCCAAACCAAACCGAACCGAACCCACAAACUGAAGAAGCUCCUCGGCAAACGACUUGACUUUGUCAGCCAAAUGACAACACGGUAUAAAUCACAAUAAUAUGUUCUAUGUCAGAAGUAUGGCAAAUCUGGCGGGCUUUCGACCACAAUCAGGAUCUCUAUAUAGAAACAAAAUUGGCAGAAGUGUGGACAUACCUAGCCAGGUCCAUGAUGCACUGCAUCCAGAAUGACGACGGGAUACCCACAUGGCCUCUGGAAC